GUAGCUCAGUUGUUAGAGCAUGGAGUUUGCAACACCAGGGUAGUGGGUUCAAUUCCCAGACC
rnacentral:tRNA from 1 species